GAUAAACGCUGGCGGCGUGCAUAACACAUGCAAGUCGAACGAAGUGGCGAACGGGUGAGUAACACGUGAGUAACCUGCCUUACACAAGGGGAUAGCCUUUGGAAACGAAGAAUAAUACCCUAUAGUGUAAGAUGGACUUGCGUCUGAUUAGCUAGUUGGUGAGAUAAAGGCCCACCAAGGCAACGAUCAGUAGCCGGCUUGAGAGAGUGUCCGGCCACAUUGGGACUGAGACACGGCCCAAACUCCUACGGGAGGCAGCAGUGGGGAAUUUUGCACAAUGGGGGAAAGUCUGACCGAGCAACGCCGCGUGAGUGAAGAAGGUUUUCGGAUCGUAAAACUCUGUUGUUAGAGAAACGGUAUCUAACCAGAAAGCCACGGCUAACUACGUGCCAGCAGCCGCGGUAAUUC
rnacentral:rRNA from 1 species